rnacentral:rRNA from 1 species
CGAACGGGUGAGUAACACGUAGGUAACCUGCCCAUGUGCCCGGGAUAACUUCUGGAAACGGAUGCUAAAACCGGAUAGGUAGCAGACAAGCAUUUGACUGCUAUUAAAGUGGCCAAGGCCAUGAACAUGGAUGGACCUGCGGUGCAUUAGCUAGUUGGUGAGGUAACGGCCCACCAAGGCGACGAUGCAUAGGGGGACUGAGAGGUUAACCCCCCACACUGGUACUGAGACACGGACCAGACUCCUACGGGAGGCAGCAUG